CCUACGGGGGGCAGCAGUGGGGAAUAUUGGACAAUGGGGGGAACCCUGAUCCAGCGACGCCGCGUGAGUGAAGAAGUAUUUCGGUAUGUAAAGCUCUAUCAGCAGGGAAGAAAGAAAUGACGGUACCUGACUAAGAAGCCCCGGCUAACUACGUGCCAGCAGCCGCGGGAAUACGUAGGGGGCAAGCGUUAUCCGGAUUUACUGGGUGUAAAGGGAGCGUAGACGGUUACGCAAGUCUGGAGUGAAAGGCGGGGGCCCAACCCCCGGACUGCUUUGGAAACUGUAUAACUGGAGUGCAGGAGAGGUAAGUGGAAUGCCUAGUGUAGCGGUGAAAUGCGUAGAUAUUAGGAGGAACACCAGUGGCGAAGGCGGCUUACUGGACUGCAACUGACGUUGAGGCUCGAAAGCGUGGGGAGCAAACAGGAUUAGAUACCCCUGUAGUC
rnacentral:rRNA from 1 species